rnacentral:rRNA from 1 species
UCACUUCUGGAUGGACCUGCGGCGUAUUAGCUAGUUGGUAAGGUAACGGCUUACCAAGGCGAUGAUACGUAGCCGAGUUGAGAGACUGAUCGGCCACAUUGGGACUGAGACACGGCCCAGACUCCUACGGGAGGCAGCAGUAGGGAAUCUUCCACAAUGGACGCAAGUCUGAUGGAGCAACGCCGCGUGAGCGAAGAAGGUCUUCGGAUCGUAAAACUCUGUUGUUAGAGAAGAACACGGGUGAGAGUAACUGUUCACCUGUUGACGGUAUCUAACCAGCAAGUCACGGCUAACUACGUGCCAGCAGCCGCGGUAAUACGUAGGUGGCAAGCGUUAUCCGGAUUUAUUGGGCGUAAAGGGAACGCAGGCGGUUCUUUAAGUCUGAU